rnacentral:rRNA from 1 species
GAUGAACGCUGGCGGCGUGCUUAACACAUGCAAGUCGAACGAAGCAUUUAGGACAGAUUACUUCGGUUUGAAGUUCUUUAUGACUGAGUGGCGGACGGGUGAGUAACGCGUGGGUAACCUGCCUUGUACUGGGGGAUAGCAGCUGGAAACGGCUGGUAAUACCGCAUAAGCGCACAAUGUUGCAUGACAUGGUGUGAAAACCUCCGGUGGUAUAAGAUGGACCCGCGUCUGAUUAGCUAGUUGGUGAGAUAACAGCCCACCAAGGCGACGAUCAGUAGCCGACCUGAGAGGGUGACCGGCCACAGUGGGACUGAGACACGGCCCAGACUCCUACGGGAGGCAGCAGUGGGGAAUAUUGCACAAUGGAGGAAACUCUGAUGCAGCGACGCCGCGUGAGUGAAGAAGUAAUUCGUUAUGUAAAGCUCUAUCAGCAGGGAAGAUAGUGACGGUACCUGACGAAGAAGCGCCGGCUAAAUACGUG